AAGUCGUAACAAGGUUUCCGUAGGUGAACCUGCGGAAGGAUCAUUAACGAAGAGCCCCGCUUUUCUAUAACAUCCUGUGAACUGUUCGAUCUCUCCGGAGAUUGACUCAUACAAACUCUAGUGUCGUAAUGAAUGUCUAGUUAUACCAUAACAAAUAUAACUUUCAACAACGGAUCUCUUGGCUCUC
rnacentral:misc_RNA from 1 species